CCUCACAGCCAAUAGGCGUUCUCUUUUGCGUCUUCUUCUUUGGUAUAAUGGCGUUCGCAACAAUUAUAUGGGCAUUCCGCCACCUAUUGUACAGGUGGAUAACAAGGAUCCCCCACCAAAAAAUGCACGGAUGGAGGACAGGGAGGAAAGCCAGGAGUUAUCAUGUUCCUCAGCAACACCAGAGAGAAUCUCCACCCCUCCAGAACCAUCCAUGUCCUCCAAACACAGGAAGUCACCUAAGGGACGGCAGGAGGGAAAGAGGUCUCAACGCCAUCACACACUUGCUGCUGCCCGACUGAUAGCAAGGCAGGUUUCCCGGCCAACAGGAACACUCCGAGCCAUCUGGGUCUUCGACGGCGGAGAUCUCCCCUAAUAAUUAUGGGUCUGAGAGAUGCAGAGAGCUGACUUUCUCCAUGGUGUCACGGCCGUCGUAAGGAUUGGACCAAAAUGCAGCGGGUUAAGAUGACAUCUAUAACUGUAUUGACCGGAUCAUCUGUUUGGGAGGAGAUGGGACUCUACUCUGCGCCUUCUCUCUCUUUAAGCUUUUAUGGUCAUACCCCAACAGAAGGCAUGAACAGCAGCCCGGCCCAGCGCCUCAUGGCACGGCGCUGAAAAGCAGCUCUGCCAGUAGCCAACACUCUCCUGGAGACCUGUGUGGUGACAGACGUGCUGGAGAAGCUUUGUCACAGAAGACAGGCAUCCAAGUUCAUCUAUGGACCACUGUACUGUCGUAACAGGGUUGACCUUCGGAUUGCUGAGCCAGCACUUACUCAGAACCCUAAUGACAAUAGGGGUUGCAUGACAAAGGAUGGACCCCAGCAAGUCAUGUGGGGCCUGAGGCACAGUACGAAGAGCUAGGGGAUCACAAGGCAGCCGCUCCCUCACCCAUCAACACUCCCCUCAGACAGUCAGGUGACACGCCUGCAAGUGAUCUCACAGAAAAGCCCCGUCUUUUCAUUCUGUUAUGUACUGUUGACAGACAGAAAAAAAUACAUGUAAAAGAAGGGGAAAAAUAAGUAUUUAUUUUAUACCUGAAAAAACUGUUCAUGAUGAAUAUUAUUACUAGGUUUGUUUUGUUAUUGAAUUGACAGCUCCUGUCCUACUUUAUAAAAGGGUGAUGUUAUGGGUGUAAGACGGCAUGUUGAUGCAGCAGUGUUUUUACCGGUGUGCUUGACAUACCUGGAUGUAUUGCAAUGUGCUGAACAAGACUGGUUACUCGCAUCAAUGACUCUGUCUAGUCAUUUACGUUCCAGACAGCAUUGAAAGUAUUGAAAAACCAUCCAGUGGCUUUUUUCAAAACCCCCGGUAUACGGUAUAUACUGUAUAACGCCUAAGCCUAUCGUGAACUCAUCAGGGUGUCCAGUGUGGCAGUCCCCUGCACCAACCUCUCCUAACUGUAUAUGUGUGUGUCUUUCAGAGGGGUUGGGAUAAAGCAGAAGUCCUUGGACCUUGUGUUCAACAAAUAAAGGGAUCUUAAUCUUAAUAGUAUCUCUUUGCCAUUCACCCAUGUCGUCUUCCUGUCAUUUCAUGACCUUACUACUUAUCUGUCAUGACCCUAAUCAACUUGUCUUUGCAGCCAUUCCUGGGAAGCCCCUUUCUACUGUACUAUUAUUAUGUUUUAGAAUUUACUUGUAAUUUACUCUGCAGCUUCUAAUUUAAACCAUAGUACCAUUGUGGUUUUCUUAUUCACUUCCAAUUAUUAGCUAUUAUGUACAGUUUUCCAAGAGACAUCUAUGCUACGCUGCUACACUACACUGUAUGUAACAGGUGACAUCAUUCACAUGAGGUAGUGAUGGAUGCCCCAUAUUGUUGAUGUCUUCCAUGCUGUUACACAGCUAUUAUGUACCGUUUUCCAAGAAACUCGUUCAACGUUUAUGCCACACUGCUACACUAUGUAACAAUGAGGUGGUGGCGUGUAUUCAUGGGUGCCAAGAGAAGCCAGACUUCCCCAAAAAAUGUAGCAAGAAAAAUAAAUGCAGAUAAUAAUUGA
rnacentral:lncRNA from 1 species